rnacentral:rRNA from 1 species
GGACGGACGCCGCAGAGAUGUGGUUUCUCCUUUUGGGGCCGGUUCACAGGUGGUGCAUGGNUUGUCGUCAGCUCGUGUCGUGAGAUGUUGGGUUAAGUCCCGCAACGAGCGCAACCCUCGUUCCAUGUUGCCAGCGCGUAAUGGCGGGGACUCAUGGGAGACUGCCGGGGUCAACUCGGAGGAAGGUGGGGACGACGUCAAAUCAUCAUGCCCCUUAUGUCUUGGGCUUCACGCAUGCUACAAUGGCCGGUACAAAGGGUUGCGAUACUGUGAGGUGGAGCUAAUCCCAAAAAGCCGGUCUCAGUUCGGAUUGGGGUCUGCAACUCGACCCCAUGAAGUCGGAGUCGCUAGUAAUCGCAGAUCAGCAACGCUGCGGUGAAUACGUUCCCGGGCCUUGUACACACCGA